UCCAACUCUGGACCUGGACCGUGGAUUGAGGCUGGUGACGUCCAGCACUUUGUCCCUGACCCCCAUGUGUACCCCCAGAAACAUGACUUGACCCCCAGCACUCAGGGCCAGGCGUAUUACAGCCUGCCUGCCCAGCCGUAUUACACAAGUAAGGAUUCGUCCAACUCUGGACCGUGGGUUGAGGCUGGUGACGUCCAACACGUUGUCCCUGCGCCCCACGUGUACCACCAGGAACAGGACUUCACCCCCAUCACUCAGGUCCAGGCGUAUUACAGCCUGCCUGCCCAGCCACAGCCGUAUUAUGCAAGUUGGGAUUCGUCGAGCUCUGGACCGUGGGUUGAGGCUGAUGAUGUCCAGCACCUUGUCCCUGCCCCCAGUGUGUACAACCAGGAACAGGACUUCACCCCCAUCACUCUGGGCCAUGUGUAUUACAGCCUGCCUGCCCAGCCGUAUUACACAAGUAAGGAUUCGUCCAACUCUGGACCGUGGGUUGAGGCUGGUGACGUCCAACACGUUGUCCCUGCGCCCCACGUGUACCACCAGGAACAGGACUUCACCCCCAUCACUCAGGUCCAGGCGUAUUACAGCCUGCCUGCCCAGCUGUAUUACCCCAGCUGGGACACUUUCUCCUGCUCUGGGCCGUUGGUUGAAGCUGGUGACCUGCCACACCCUAUCCCAUCCUCCCACGUGUACCACCAGGAGCAGAUAUUCACUCCCAGCACUCAGGGUCAGAAUAUCUGGGGACCUAGUAGAAGACAUCAGGGCCACAGAUCCAUAGACCAAGUCCCUACGGAG
ensembl:lncRNA